GCACACACCUUAAACAAACAAUGAAAGCCACCAGACAGAAACCUCUAGCACUUUCUUAUUUCUAGUGCUGGGAUUAAUACGUCCUCCUUUUGAGUACUGAAUAUGGUAGGUCCCAUUUUCUCACACUGAGAAAAAAGUCAAAGAUAGGUUCUCUCCAUUCCCCAAUCCCCUCCACCAAACCAAACCAAACAAAAAAUUGGAAAAGGGUGAAUGUGCAGUAAAGUCUCCAUGUUAGAAAGUGCCUUUUCACUUUGGAAAAGUUAAUUUUAUAAAACAACUUGGUUGACCAUUCACUUUUCUCCACAGGGGAUGAAAAGGAAGGGGUGCCGCAGCUUGCACAGAAGGUAUGGGAAUGGCAUUACUGCUUUAUUCUUUGCCUUGGUCUACACAGGAAUAAAGCAAAGAAGAAACUGGUGCCUAAGGUCACACUGAUAAUAGAUGAAGUGAUGGAGCAAGGAUUCAACCGCCAGCAGUUCGGUUCCUCAGCCUCCCCCGAUCUCAUAUGCUACUCAUGACCAUCUGUUACACCUUAGAGGGAAUCUAAAUCAUCUAAUCACUAAAUGAUGCGCCCACUGCUUCAUCUCUACUUAUACAGUGAAAGAUCAUCGCUUUCAUCAAAGGUAUUUUGAGCAUCAAAUUGGAAAUCCUGGGAAACUCCUGGGCGUGGAGGACCUCAGAUGUCACCCUGCAGCUUUCUCUGUCUCUGAGAACAGAUCUAGAGCCUUAGUGCCAUCGCCACUACAGAUGGGCUAAAUUCAAGGACUGAUGACUACUCAAGGCUGCUAUGGAGUUAAAAUAAAUAGCAUAAGAACAUGAAUGUGACACAAUAAGGUUUUACUGGAAGAAGAGUUAG
rnacentral:lncRNA from 1 species